GUGGGGAAUAUUGGGCAAUGGGCGAAAGCCUGACCCAGCAACGCCGCGUGAAGGAAGAAGGUCUUCGGAUUGUAAACUUCUUUGAUCAGGGACGAAAGAAAUGACGGUACCUGAAGAACAAGCCACGGCUAACUACGUGCCAGCAGCCGCGGUAAUACGUAGGUGGCAAGCGUUAUCCGGAUUUACUGGGUGUAAAGGGCGUGUAGGCGGUUCUGCAAGUCAGAUGUGAAAUUCCCGGGCUUAACCCGGGCGCUGCAUCUGAAACUGCAGAACUUGAGUACUGGAGAGGAUAGUGGAAUUCCUAGUGUAGCGGUAAAAUGCGUAGAUAUUAGGAGGAACACCAGUGGCGAAGGCGGCUAUCUGGACAGUAACUGACGCUGAGGCGCGAAAGCGUGGGGAGCAAACAGGAUUAGAAACCCCAGUAGUCC
rnacentral:rRNA from 1 species